rnacentral:tRNA from 1 species
GCCGCGGUGGCGGAACCGGCAGACGCGCAGGACUCAAACUCCUGUGGCCGCAAGGUCAUGAGGGUUCGAUCCCCUCCCGCGGCA